UGAAGUCCUAACUUUUGCCUUUCAAAAUCGUAGUUCAUACAAAUACAAUGCAGAAUAAAUAAUAAUUAUACAGAAACCACUUAAGAAAACAAGGAGAAAUUAUAUAAAUUUAGAGAAAAUAUUUAAGUACAAUAGCUUAUUUAUUUUUAUUAAAAUACCAUACAUGAAUAACGUCCGACGCAACUGAAUGACGAAAAAACAUUGGUUCCCAUUUAGCUUUUAAUAAUGGCCUUUUCUCAGUCUGUGCAUAAAUAAGAACAGUUUUAACAACAGUAACGAUAAUUAUAAUAAUGUUGAGUAAAUGUUUUAAGUAACCUGCUACUACUGUAGUGUUUACAACAGCACAUAAAGCUGACAAACUAUAAUCCAGUUAUUCUUUAUUACGUAUUCGUUAUAAAACAUUCGACACAAUUACUAAACUACUUCCAGUGGUUUUUAUUGACACACGAAGAAAACCGAGUGUUUAUUCACUCCGUAUGGCUUGAUACAUUUUGUAGCAUUUACUUAAUUCCUCUUUUGCAUUUAUUUUGAAAAACAAACAAACAAAAAAUAAAUAAAAAAUGGAAACAAUAGUGGAUUUAUUAAAUACAAAUAAUCAAGUCGUCAACCAUAAAUUUAUCAAAUGGUUACAAACAUCUGAACACUGGACACAUUGUAAUAUUGGUUAAAAAAAUAAUAAUAACACUUUCAUAAAAAAUUUUUUUUGACAAAGCUUUAGAUGUACAAAGUUGAAAAGCACUUACCUGAGAUAACUUCUGAAAUUCUAUUAGCUUAGUUUCCAAUGUGCGUAUAUAUACACAAGGAAGAAUCAAACAAACAAGCUUUCUUCUAAAAUCCUACACUGUUUCAUACUUGAGGUAAACAUGCAAGCUAUGUUCAAUAACCGAUCAACAGUAAAAAGUUAUCAUAUCAUAUCAACAAAUUGAAUAUGACUAUUACAAUGGUGAAACAAAAUAGCUAUGUUAAUCCUACACAAAGCAAACAAAGUAUUAACCUGCAUCACACACUUACAGUUAUAAUUCAAUCAAUGUCAAAAACUGCAUUGCAUACAUAAAUUACACUUUACUUAAUGUCUGAUUGUCACGAGAACAACAUGACAUGAAUGGAACUGCAACAGAAAACAUUUAGUGCAAAGUUGAGGGUACUGGUCUACUUCACUGUGAAUGUUUACAUGUCUGUCAACUGAAUACAAUGGAUAUUCUACCUUUACAAAGGGUGAAUUGUUCAUUAGAAAUUAUUCAUUGAUAAUUCUCAAGGCAUUUUAAAGUGAGCAGACAGGUAAAAAUAAAGUGCUGUAUUUGUAAGGUAUAAUGUAAUCAAGGCUUUUUCCAACUUCUUUGAAAAAGUAAUAUUGCUAACACUAUUACAUUAAUAAUACUAAUAUGCAUUUAUACAAAAGAAAUACAUGUAGACAGUGAUACAGACAUCACUAUCCAUAUUUUGUAAAAGUACUUAGCCUUUGUUUUUGCAUCAACUAAAUAAAUACUGCAAACAUGCACACAUCAUAAAUUAUUUGUGCAAUCAUAAAUACUCAGAUAACACAUUAUCAAAUUUCCAAUAAAGACAAGGAUUUAAGAUGACUGUAGAUAAUAGUAACUUCGACCAUACAGAUACAUGGAUUUAAGAAGAGGCAAUAGAAUAGAAUAGGAGAGUGAUUUCACAGACACUUACACAGUAACACUGGUAUAAAAUGUAGUCAUAAUGUUUAUAAUAAAACACAAUAACUGAAUAGUAUUGUGUAUAUUAAGGCAAAAAUGAACAGCACCUUAAUCCUGAUGUAAACUUUGAUCUGCUCACUCCUCAGUGUCUAUCAACAGAAAUGCCAAGGCUGUCUUGAUAUAAUAAAACAUGACAUGCCAUAAUGUGAAAUACUUACUUUUUCCCUUUUGUCUUUCAGGAAACAUUUUAAUGAUCCCUGAAAUAUUUAACAAACAUGUAUAAUUUUCCAUUAUCUGGAUUUAACUCACGCCAUUUAAAAUCUUCACAUAGGCAAGUGGU
rnacentral:lncRNA from 1 species